UUAAGACCAUCGUCGUCCUCCUGCUCGCUCGCUCUUUGUGUUCGUCCUACUCGCCCUACUCGUCAUGCUUGUCUAGAUCGUCGUGAUCGCUCGACUAACUACAUCGGCCACGCUCGCUCGCUCGAGCAGGCUAAGAAAUCGUUUUGCAAAAGGGGUAUGGAUGAUGGGCGUGAUUGAUGAGAUUCGAAUGCCUGUUACAGAAACAAACCGAAACCCAAUAUUAGUUGACACAAGGACUCGUGUGAAGGAUACACUUACUGUUGAACCACAACGAAGAAAUGGAAGGCUUCAAUUAAUGUGCUACAAGUACAUUUGGGAUGAUAUAGUUGCUGAUAAAUUCCCAUCAGAGAAAUUUUUCACUUUUUUUCCUUAAAUCCUCAUGGUAUCUUAUAUGAAGAAAUCAGAGAGAUGGCUGCUAACUCAAGGUUCCCAGCAGAGACCCUUGAUGACAUAGUGAGAUACUACAGAAACACAUGUAGCAUGCUGCCCUCUACACAUGACCAGCUGCUAUUGAGAUAUGAGUUAUAGAAAGAUCAUUCGUUACUUGGUGAAGAUGAGUUUGCAUACGACUCUGAUUGGGUCAAGAAUCAAAUACAGGGUUGUCUUGAGUUCUGGUUAGGAGAGCGAGAAGCAAGUUACACUCUUAAGGAUGAGGAAUGGAAAUGCAGGUUCUGUCAAUAUUCUUCUGUUUGCCCCGCUAGAAGUGCAGAGUCUGCAAACUAUACUAAUACACCAAGUUAGAGAAAAGCAGUAGCAUUGGUGAUGUUUCAAUCAACAUCGUCAGUAGGCCUCGUUUGGCACGCCGUAUAAAGCAUCGGAUAGGAUAAAUAAUACGGGAGUAGUUGUUUGGUGCACUCUCGUACUAAAUAAGCACCCGCUUAAUUAUCCGGCCCAUCAAAUUUUAUACGGUUGACACCGUACUAUUAAAACAGCCCAAAAGCUCGGGAUAAUUAGUCGGGGCGUUGUCCUCUCCAACUUCACGAAGCCGCCGUUAACGACUUCUCAAAGUGGGCCUUCGAGCAAUUCCUCGACGAGUUUUCCACCCUAGGCGCCACUCCUCUGCAGUCAUUCUCCGACUAAUUUCCCGUCUCGUCCGACGGAAAGCACAUAGAGGAACAAAGAAGAGAGUGAGAGAAAGACAAAAGGAGACCAGUAGCAAAAUAACAUAUUCCACAGGGAUAUAUAGAAAGGGGCGGAUGGAAGCUAAGGAAUUCGCCAACUGGAGGCGUCACUCAGCUCUUCCCCUCCUCCAAAUCGAAUUUUGUCAAUGCUUUUCCCCAACCUAAUGCCCAAAAUCAGUCAGCCCCAUUUUUCUCUCCGAUGAGUGUUCUUGGUUUGUUGAAAAAAAGGUGUCCUUCGUGAAUUUCCUUCCAAUUGUUUUUUAGGACAAAUAGAAAACAAAUUCCUUUGUGUGAAUUUUCUUGGUUUGUGGUGUGUUUUUUUGCUGGGUUGAUUUGUAGCUAAAAAAAAAGGGAAGGAUUGGGAAAAAAACGAUGAGAAUUUGAAAGGUGGGUUUUGUUGGGUUUCUUGUUGCUACCUUUGUGGUGGGGUUUAGUUCAAGGGAGCAGACGGGGAAGAAGAAUAA